AUUGAACGCUGGCGGCAUGCUUUACACAUGCAAGUCGAACGGGGUGGAGGGCAACCUCCAUUCAGUGGCGAACGGGUGAGUAAUGCAUCGGAACGUGCCUCGUAGUGGGGGAUAACUCGGCGAAAGCCGUGCUAAUACCGCAUAUGCUCUACGGAGGAAAGUGGGGGAUCCGCAAGGACCUCACGCUAUGAGAGCGGCCGAUGUCCGAUUAGCUUGUUGGGGGGUAAUGGCCCACCAAGGCGACGAUCGGUAGCUGGUCUGAGAGGAUGAUCAGCCACACUGGGACUGAGACACGGCCCAGACUCCUACGGGAGGCAGCAGUGGGAAUUUUGGACAAUGGGGCAACCCUGAUCCAGCCAUGCCGCGUGCGGGAAGAAGG
rnacentral:rRNA from 1 species